rnacentral:lncRNA from 1 species
CAGAGAUAGAAGAUAAGGCUCUGCCCACAGUCUCCAGGCUGCAGCAUCUGGUGAGGAAGGGAAGGUGUAUGGCUGCAUUGUUUUUCUCUUGGUGUUCAACUGGAAUAGAGCAGGAAAUUGCUUUGGAGAUGAGGAAACAAACUCUUAUGGAGACCUAAGAGACUGAAGACAUCUGGCGUGGACUACUCUGAUGGUAAAAUUGAAAGUACACCUAAAUUUGCUUUGUUACAGGAUUCUCUUCAGAGGACAAGAGAAGAUGUUACAUUCUCCGCAUGAGGACAAUUCUGCAGCAUCAAAAUCGAAUAAUAUUUGUUUUCUGGCAGCAGAAUUUUGUAUCAUAUUUCUAAAGACAGUAAGCACUUGGGUGGACGUCAAUGAAUACUAAACACUAAUUGAUCUGAUACAGCCGUAUGCACAUACACAGAUAUACAUGGUGGCUUGUAAUGGUUGAAAAAUUACAGUUUGGUUUUAUUAAAAGAUCUGUCACUUUUAGGUCAGAGUGGGAUUUUGGAGGGAUAGUCUCCCACAAUAGAAAACUACCCUGACAACAGUGGUGUUUUGAGGUUGUUUGUUGUUUGGCUUGUUGAUGAUGCUUAGCUAAGGAGACACUUCCUUUCAGAUUCUGUCUUCCAAACCCCAGGGCUCUGUUCUGGGCAGUUCAGCCUAAUGGAAUUAAGCCUGACAUGUUUCAACUCUAUUUCUUGAUAAAAUAAACAUAAAACAAUGGUUUAGAUUUCGAAUAAAACUCUUGAAGCAUGGGGU